AAGUUUUUUUUUUUUUUUUGACUGAACUGGUGUGAGGCACAGGGCGCUGGCGCGUUUGAGACAAAGAUAACGCUAGAAAGAGUGAGUAACGCCGAUGAAACUGAACGGGGAGUUCAGAUAAGGAUCGCGGACUCGGAGUGUUGAACGAGCGACUGAGUGAGUGAGAAACGAAGCGGGAGACCCGUCUGACGGAGCGGGUGAAAAGGAGCGGACACGUGAUCGAAGGUAGCCGAGAUAGCUAGUCACAGUGAUCGUAUGCUGGCGGACCUGUUGGUGAAUCGUGUUGCACGUGAGCAUCCGGACCGAAGUAUUUCCACGCUCUCAAUGUGUUGCAAGUUUUUGUUGUUUGUUCAGCGCACUCAAUGUUUUGCAAGACCAACACAGGCCUGCAACGUGUUUUUUCCUUCGUUCAAAGCAGUACCUUUGACUGUAUCAUGAAGCUCAUGUGAGGACGCUGAACAUCUGCUGAUGGAGCUGCUCUAUUCUGAGAGGAACAGAAUCACUCAGAUAUGAGUUUGACUGUUUGACUCUUUAUUCUCUGAAAUGAGUCAGUUGAGUCGGACUAAUGAAGAGAUGAGGCUGGACUCCACUGAUGGUGAGAGUGAAAUCUCUUCCAGUAUCUGCUGUUCCACUGCCACUGAAUCUAGAUGGAGUUCCUGACUGGAGGGUGUUUAUCUGAUAUAUGAGGAGCUUAGGAGCUUCUCCAGGUUUCU